GACGGAGGGUGCUAGCGUUGUUCGGAAUUACUGGGCGUAAAGCGCGCGCAGGCGGUUCUUUAAGUCUGAUGUGAAAGCCCACGGCUCAACCGUGGAGGGUCAUUGGAAACUGGAGAACUUGAGUACAGAAGAGGAAAGCGGAAUUCCACGUGUAGCGGUGAAAUGCGUAGAGAUGUGGAGGAACACCAGUGGCGAAGGCGGCUUCCUGGCCUGUUCUUGACGCUGAGGCGCGAAAGCUAGGGGAGCAAACGGG
rnacentral:rRNA from 1 species